rnacentral:rRNA from 1 species
AUUGAACGCUGGCGGCAGGCCUAACACAUGCAAGUCGAACGGAGCGGCGAACGGGGAAGUAAUGCCUAGGAAUCUGCCUGUGAGUAGGGGAUACCGUCCGGAGACGGACCCUAAUACCGCAUACUAUCAGCGGGGCCUAGGUCGGAUUAGCUAGUUGGUGGGGUAAAGGCCUACCAAGGCGACGAGCCGUACCUGGCCUGAGAGGAUGAUCAGUCACACUGGAACUGAGACACGGUCCAGACUCCUACGGGAGGCAGCAGUGGGGAAUCUUGGACAAUGGGCGAAAGCCUGAUCCAGCCAUGCCGCGUGUGUGAAGAAGGUUUUCGGAUUGUAAAGCUCUUUAAGUUGGGAGGCGUUACCUACACAAUAAGCACCGGCUAACUACGUGCCAGCAGCCGCGGUAAUAC